GGCUGGAUAGCUCAGCGGUAGAGCGCCUCUCCAUUAUGUUCACUUGCACCCUAGCCAGAGGUCGCUCCUCUGGGUACCUUAGGUCGCUCCGACGGGUCGUUUUGGGGGGCGUAAGAAGAACUGCUGGCUUAGAGGACGUCUCAGGUUCGAAUCCUGAUUCGGCCA